CUCAGCGAAAAACUUCCUCUUAAUAUCUUUAAACAGGUUGUUGUGUAUGAAAACAGCUUUCUUCAAAAGCACUUCUCCACGUUCGCUUUGUCAUAAUCUUCUCACCAGCACCAUGUUUUGUGUUAUCAUCAUUAACUGUGCUACAACAGGAAGGUGACUUGGAGUGAUACCAGCCUUCUAAAUGUCAUAGAUAUUAAUGUCAUCUAUUUCUUCAUCCUCAGUGAGUUCAUCCUCACCAAACUACAGAUGCAAGUACAGGGAACCACGUGCUUGUGUCCAAACACGAGGAUAUCAGGCUAUUGAUGAGUCACCUCAAGAAAAAGACUUUAAAUAACCAUCCCACCAAAACAAAGUGGGUUCCUAGGAUACACUAGGAUACAUAGAUGUCAUCUGGACUGAAAACUUGGAUUCCUUCAUUGAUUUCUACCACAAAUUUAACAUCCAGAAUUGUCCAUCAAACUAUCUCUGGAAAACUCUUACAUCAGCAUCAACUUUCUAGACACCACGGUCAACAUAAAAAAUAGCAACCUACAAACUACCAUAUGCAGAAAAUCCACAGACCAACACACCUCCUUCCACAAACCAGCAGCUAUCCAAAACAAAGCAGAAAAACUGUGAUAUAGUACCAGCCCACAAACAUCACCUCAUUUGCUCUGAGGAGAACAUUCAUAGCACUCCCUCAGAAAGCAACAGAUGAUGUCCAUCCAGAAGUGACACUCCUCUAUGAUUGCAUAUUUGAAGAAGCCACCUAAACCUUGUACAAACUUACUACAAUACAGAGAAAAUCCCUCAUCGGUUAUCAUGCGCCACAAUGUCCAAGAAAUAUAUACUGGAAAAUAUUAACAAUCUGCAACUUAUAUUUGAAGAAAAUCAUACCUCUAAAUGAUUUUUCCUAAAACCAUCCCUCUCUCCCUUCCAACAACACUCAGCAUCAUUAGGUCCAUCACUAAGCAAAUUUUUGGCAGACCAGCAUACGCCAGCUAGAACCAGAUGACUCCAAAAAAUCAGGUCCAAAUUUUGCCACAACCUAUAUAAUAAAUGCCUGUUACUCCAGAGCCACCAAAAUCCAUAGAUCCUGCAUAUGCACAUCCUGUGAUGCACUGUGUGAUGCAUUCAGUGCUCUCAGGAAGCUGUGGCUGAAACCACACUACCACUGGGUUCUACAUAAUUAGGAUAGGACAGUGACACUAGUUGGAAAGUGAUCUUCCCAAAACAACUACGGGCAUCUCCAAACUUGCUGGCCUGACUCUGAAAGAGUAAAGGAGAAUGAGAGCAGCAGCACUGAGUCAAAUGGAGAUCCAUUGAGCUCACAGUUGUCUGUGUGGGUGGUAGCUGCUGCAGAAUAGGAGCUGCAAUAUCCAGCUGUGGAGAGCCAUGUGGCUAGCCCAAGCCGUGCUCUUUGGAAACCAGACUGCAGUUCCCCAGGGACUGUACUCCACUUCGUUAAUCAAGUGGAGUCUGGAGCUCCAGCUACUACACUGGCACUUCAUAGAUUGAGACUCUUGAAUUGGAUGGAAAAACAGCACCCAGGAUCAUUUCCUAGUACCUCCCGCAUUUCACCAUCCGUGGUGACAGGGAGUAAAAUACUUGCGUAACUCAUUCAACAUCCAGGCUCUCGUGCUGCCCAAGAAACCAACAGAUGCAAAUUCAAUUGUGAGUAAAUCCUGCUAAGACAAGAGAAUAAUAUUCUGAUUUCAGAAGUAGUAGUGGCCAACAGCAUAUGCCCAGGAAAAAAAUACAAGAGCACAGCAGGCAUGUAAUUAGACUUCCCAGUACACUUGAGCAGCUUGUGGCUCAGAGCUGUCCUAAGCCUGUGGUGAUGUUUUUUAUGUUUAAGGCUGUGCCUGAAGAUGCCUGAGGAUUGUGAUGGCAUAUGGACAUGUGAUGGAGCCUUGGUGGGAGCUGAGUCUUGGAGAGUGCGCAGGCAAGUGGCUGUGGCACGAAAAGGAAAGACAAAACACAACAGUAAUUACAACAGAGAAUAUGAAUCAGAAUCUGUCAGAGACCUAGAAGUGCUUGUGGCUCACAAGAGGGACACAGUGUACCAGAUGAUGUAGCAAAAAUCCCUCAGAGAUCAUACUGAACAGAGAAUACCUGGAAACAUGAAGGAGUGGCUGAAGAGACACAGGACCAGAGCAAGACUAAACCAUUGGAGGUCCACACAGUGUGAAAGCUUUUUCUUAAAUUGUAAUGUGCCAUUGUUAAUACUAUGUAUAAAGUGGGAUUUGAAAAGAAAUCAACUGAAAUAAAUUAACUGUCUACUUGAUCUAGGUGGAUUUUUAUCUUACGAAGGAGGCAUGGCAUUCCUAGGGCAUAUGGGAGGCGGAGAAAAGUUCUGCCCCUGUUCUUCUCACUUCCCAAUUUAGACAGUUUUCUCAUCUAAUCCCAUCAGAUUUCACAAACUACACUCUCUCUGCCCAUCCCACUGACACCAGCAUCUGUAUGGUGGUCUCUCCCACCACUGGCUUCUGUAGGUGGUCUCUGAGCGCUGGACUGGUUUCAACAAGGAACGGCCAUUUGGAGGAGAUACUGGACACUCCCACAGGCACUUGAUUUUAUCUACUGGGUCAUAGACUAGAGCACUCCACAGGAUGUGGGAGAGUUGCCUUCACAUUCUUCUUUUGCCGGUGGGAUCCAAGCCCACACAUAUUCCAGGAUCCCCAGGAAGAAAUCCUAACCACAUAUCUGUGUGCUGUCUGAGGAAUGUACUCUCCCAUUUUGCAAGGCAGCAUUAAGGAUUUGGAAGUGGAAGGGAAAAGGGAGAAAGAAUACUUGUCUCUGUGUGUAUAAGUGCUCCUAUAUAUAACAUAAUCUGUCUCAGAUAAUAUCUGUUUCUCUGGGUCAUCUGUCUUCAUCUCUCACUUCCUCUUUUAUCCAUAUAUUUCAGUGGUUAAAGCAUGAGACAAGAGCCUAUGGAUGCAAUACCACAGAAAGGCACAGAAGCAUGUUCCACUUCCCUGGAGAAUGGCACAGUCAUCGUGCUAGUCUGGCAUUUGCCCUGUCUCACCUGAGCUGAGUUGUUUGGAAUAACUAGAAGAACAUCAAUUCUUUGUUAGUUGGGAACUUGGUCUUAAAUGUAGCUUGAAAUGUGUAGGUGAGGGGAGAGCAAAGGAUGUUGUACACUUUGAUUUUAGCAGAGCUUUUGACACUGUCUCCCAUAACAUCCUUGUAGAUAAGCUUAGGAAGUGUGGGAUAGAUGAGUGGGCAGUGAGGUGGAUUG
ensembl:lncRNA